GAUGAACGCUGGCGGAGUGCCUAAUACAUGCAAGUCGAGCGGCAGCACGAGUAGUUUACUACUUGGUGGCGAGCGGCGGACGGCUGAGUAACGCGUGGGAACGUGCCCCAAAGUGAGGAAUAAGCUCCAGAAAUGGAGUCUAAUGCCGCAUAUGAUCUUCGGAUUAAAGUAUUUAUACGCUUUGGGAGCGGCCCGCGUCCGAUUAGAUAGUUGGUGAGGUAAAGGCUCACCAAGUCUACGAUCGGUGACUGGUCUGAGAGGAUGAUCAGUCAGACUGGAACUGAGACACGGUCCAGACUCCUACGGGAGGCAGCAGUAAGGAAUCUUCCACAAUGGACGAAAGUCUGAUGGAGCAACUCCGCGUGCAGGAUGAAGGCCUUCGGGUCGUAAACUGCUUUUAUGAGUGAAGAAUAUGACGGUAACUCAUGAAUAAGGGUCGGCUAACUACGUGC
rnacentral:rRNA from 1 species